AACAAACUUCCAUGGAACUCAAACCAAAGAAAUUCCUUAUAUUCCAAAAUCACUUUGCACUCUGAAAGAUACCAGCCUUCUUCAUCUUCUCAAAAUCUUUCAUGGAAUCAUAAUUUCUGUAGAAAUCUGCAUAUGCCUUCUUUCCUGGUUUGGCCACAGCAAACUUCAAGAAAGCUGCAACCCCAAGGGACACAGCAAAUGCUCCAACAAUAUGAAAUCGCAGACGCUUAGCCAGAAGGCCUCAUCUCUGAGAUUUCAUCAGAGCACUGAAGUCUCCUCAACACCAACUUCAAAAGCAACGUCCAUCCUAACUGAUACCCCAUCUGGCUAUUUCUGAAGAAAGCAGCAAACUACCAUUUUCAUCCCUUUGUGCCAUUUUUGUGAGCAGCAGAGAUGGAAGAGAUGAAGACUUAAUAUGUCACAGAGCUCCAUGAAAGAUUUUCUCGAAUUUUGUUGUAAUUACAUAUAUUUUAAAUGAAAAUUUUCAUGCAUCGAGAAAGUAUAGGAAGUAUAAAAAACAAAAUAACAUAUGUAUCCACA